rnacentral:rRNA from 1 species
AUUGAACGCUGGCGGCAGGCCUAACACAUGCAAGUCGGGCGGAUGAAGGGAGCUUGCUCCUGGAUUCAGCGGCGGACGGGUGAGUGAUGCCUAGGAAUCUGCCUGGUAGUGGGGGAUAACGUCCGGAAACGGGCGCUAAUACCGCAUACGUCCUGAGGGAGAAAGUGGGGGAUCUUCGGACCUCACGCUAUCAGAUGAGCCUAGGUCGGAUUAGCUAGUUGGUGGGGUAAAGGCCUACCAAGGCGACGAUCCGUAACUGGUCUGAGAGGAUGAUCAGUCACACUGGAACUGAGACACGGUCCAGACUCCUACGGGAGGCAGCAGUGGGGAAUAUUGGACAAUGGGCGAAAGCCUGAUCCAGCCAUGCCGCGUGUGUGAAGAAGGUCUUCGGAUUGUAAAGCACUUUAAGUUGGGAGGAAGGGCAGUAAGUUAAUACCUUGCUGUUUUGACGUUACCAACAGAAUAAGCACCGGCUAACUUCGUG